UUAAGCGACUAAGCGUACACGGUGGAUGCCCUGGCAGUCAGAGGCGAUGAAGGACGUGCUAAUCUGCGAUAAGCGUCGGUAAGGUGAUAUGAACCGUUAUAACCGGCGAUUUCCGAAUGGGGAAACCCAGUGUGUUUCGACACACUAUCAUUAACUGAAUCCAUAGGUUAAUGAGGCGAACCGGGGGAACUGAAACAUCUAAGUACCCCGAGGAAAAGAAAUCAACCGAGAUUCCCCCAGUAGCGGCGAGCGAACGGGGAGCAGCCCAGAGCCUGAAUCAGUAUGUGUGUUAGUGGAAGCGUCUGGAAAGGCGCGCGAUACAGGGUGACAGCCCCGUACACAAAAAUGCACAUAUUGUGAGCUCGAUGAGUAGGGCGGGACACGUGGUAUCCUGUCUGAAUAUGGGGGGACCAUCCUCCAAGGCUAAAUACUCCUGACUGACCGAUAGUGAACCAGUACCGUGAGGGAAAGGCGAAAAGAACCCCGGCGAGGGGAGUGAAAAAGAACCUGAAACCGUGUACGUACAAGCAGUGGGAGCACGCUUAGGCGUGUGACUGCGUACCUUUUGUAUAAUGGGUCAGCGACUUAUAUUCUGUAGCAAGGUUAACCGAAUAGGGGAGCCGAAGGGAAACCGAGUCUUAACUGGGCGUUAAGUUGCAGGGUAUAGACCCGAAACCCGGUGAUCUAGCCAUGGGCAGGUUGAAGGUUGGGUAACACUAACUGGAGGACCGAACCGACUAAUGUUGAAAAAUUAGCGGAUGACUUGUGGCUGGGGGUGAAAGGCCAAUCAAACCGGGAGAUAGCUGGUUCUCCCCGAAAGCUAUUUAGGUAGCGCCUCGUGAAUUCAUCUCCGGGGGUAGAGCACUGUUUCGGCAAGGGGGUCAUCCCGACUUACCAACCCGAUGCAAACUGCGAAUACCGGAGAAUGUUAUCACGGGAGACACACGGCGGGUGCUAACGUCCGUCGUGAAGAGGGAAACAACCCAGACCGCCAGCUAAGGUCCCAAAGUCAUGGUUAAGUGGGAAACGAUGUGGGAAGGCCCAGACAGCCAGGAUGUUGGCUUAGAAGCAGCCAUCAUUUAAAGAAAGCGUAAUAGCUCACUGGUCGAGUCGGCCUGCGCGGAAGAUGUAACGGGGCUAAACCAUGCACCGAAGCUGCGGCAGCGACGCUGAUGCGUUGUUGGGUAGGGGAGCGUUCUGUAAGCCUGCGAAGGUGUGCUGUGAGGCAUGCUGGAGGUAUCAGAAGUGCGAAUGCUGACAUAAGUAACGAUAAAGCGGGUGAAAAGCCCGCUCGCCGGAAGACCAAGGGUUCCUGUCCAACGUUAAUCGGGGCAGGGUGAGUCGACCCCUAAGGCGAGGCCGAAAGGCGUAGUCGAUGGGAAACAGGUUAAUAUUCCUGUACUUGGUGUUACUGCGAAGGGGGGACGGAGAAGGCUAUGUUGGCCGGGCGACGGUUGUCCCGGUUUAAGCGUGUAGGCUGGUUUUCCAGGCAAAUCCGGAAAAUCAAGGCUGAGGCGUGAUGACGAGGCACUACGGUGCUGAAGCAACAAAUGCCCUGCUUCCAGGAAAAGCCUCUAAGCAUCAGGUAACAUCAAAUCGUACCCCAAACCGACACAGGUGGUCAGGUAGAGAAUACCAAGGCGCUUGAGAGAACUCGGGUGAAGGAACUAGGCAAAAUGGUGCCGUAACUUCGGGAGAAGGCACGCUGAUAUGUAGGUGAAGUCCCUUGCGGAUGGAGCUGAAAUCAGUCGAAGAUACCAGCUGGCUGCAACUGUUUAUUAAAAACACAGCACUGUGCAAACACGAAAGUGGACGUAUACGGUGUGACGCCUGCCCGGUGCCGGAAGGUUAAUUGAUGGGGUCAGCGCAAGCGAAGCUCUUGAUCGAAGCCCCGGUAAACGGCGGCCGUAACUAUAACGGUCCUAAGGUAGCGAAAUUCCUUGUCGGGUAAGUUCCGACCUGCACGAAUGGCGUAAUGAUGGCCAGGCUGUCUCCACCCGAGACUCAGUGAAAUUGAACUCGCUGUGAAGAUGCAGUGUACCCGCGGCAAGACGGAAAGACCCCGUGAACCUUUACUAUAGCUUGACACUGAACAUUGAGCCUUGAUGUGUAGGAUAGGUGGGAGGCUUGGAAGUGUGGACGCCAGUCUGCAUGGAGCCGACCUUGAAAUACCACCCUUUAAUGUUUGAUGUUCUAACGUUGACCCGUAAUCCGGGUUGCGGACAGUGUCUGGUGGGUAGUUUGACUGGGGCGGUCUCCUCCUAAAGAGUAACGGAGGAGCACGAAGGUUGGCUAAUCCUGGUCGGACAUCAGGAGGUUAGUGCAAUGGCAUAAGCCAGCUUGACUGCGAGCGUGACGGCGCGAGCAGGUGCGAAAGCAGGUCAUAGUGAUCCGGUGGUUCUGAAUGGAAGGGCCAUCGCUCAACGGAUAAAAGGUACUCCGGGGAUAACAGGCUGAUACCGCCCAAGAGUUCAUAUCGACGGCGGUGUUUGGCACCUCGAUGUCGGCUCAUCACAUCCUGGGGCUGAAGUAGGUCCCAAGGGUAUGGCUGUUCGCCAUUUAAAGUGGUACGCGAGCUGGGUUUAGAACGUCGUGAGACAGUUCGGUCCCUAUCUGCCGUGGGCGCUGGAGAACUGAGGGGGGCUGCUCCUAGUACGAGAGGACCGGAGUGGACGCAUCACUGGUGUUCGGGUUGUCAUGCCAAUGGCACUGCCCGGUAGCUAAAUGCGGAAGAGAUAAGUGCUGAAAGCAUCUAAGCACGAAACUUGCCCCGAGAUGAGUUCUCCCUGACCCUUUAAGGGUCCUGAAGGAACGUUGAAGACGACGACGUUGAUAGGCCGGGUGUGUAAGCGCAGCGAUGCGUUGAGCUAACCGGUACUAAUGAACCGUGAGGCUUAACCUU
rnacentral:rRNA from 1 species